AAAAUGGAACACUCACAAAUGUAGUGGCACAAUUGAAAAAAUCUUCAUUUUUUUUCAAUUGUGCCACUACAUUUGUGAGUGUUCCAUUUU